AUCGAACGCUGGCGGCAGGCCUAACACAUGCAAGUCGAACGUGUGGCGGACGGGUGAGUACUGUCUGGGACACUGCCUGAUGGAGGGGGAUAACUACUGGAAACGGUAGCUAUUACCGCAUACCAUCGGAUGUGCCUAGAUGGGAUUAGCUUGUUGGUGGGGUAAAGGCUCACCUAGGCGACGAUCCCUAGCUGGUCUGAGAGGAUGAUCGGCAAGACUGGAACAGAGACACGGUCCAGACUCCUACGGGAGGCAGCAGUGGGGAAUAUUGGACAAUGGGCGCAAGCCUGAUCCAGCCAGACCGAGUGGGUGAAGAAGGCCUUCGGGUUGUAAAGCCCUUUUGUGGGGAAAGCGGUACCCAAAGAAUAAGCACCGGCUAACUGCGUGCCAGCAGCCGCGGUAAUAC
rnacentral:rRNA from 1 species